UACGUAGGGGGCAAGCGUUGUCCGGAUUCAUUGGGCGUAAAGAGCGUGUAGGCGGCCAGGUAGGUCGGUUGUGAAAACUGGAGGCUCAACCUUCAGAGGUCGACCGAAACCAUCUGGCUAGAGUCCGGGAGAGGAGAGUGGAAUUCCUGGUGUAGCGGUGAAAUGCGCAGAUAUCAGGAAGAACACCGGUGGCGAAGGCGGAGCUCUGGGCCAUUACUGACACUGAGAAGCGAAAGCAUGGGGAGCGAACAGG
rnacentral:rRNA from 1 species